rnacentral:rRNA from 1 species
UACAGAGGCCCCAAGCGUUACUGAGAAUCACUGGGUUUAAAGGGUGCGUAGGUGGUCCGUUAAGUUCGUUGUGAAAUCCCUGGGCUCAACCCAGGAAAUGCUUCGAAUACUGGCGGACUUGAGGCUAGUAGGGGUCACUGGAACUGACGGUGGAGCGGUGAAAUGCGUAGAUAUCGUCAGGAACGCCAAUGGUGAAGACAGGUGACUGGGCUAGUUCUGACACUGAGGCACGAAAGCGUGGGGAUCAAACGGGA